AAUGAACGUUGGCGGCGUGGAUUAGGCAUGCAAGUCGCGCGGGAGUAGCAAUACUCCAGCGGCGUAAGGGACAGUAAUGCGUAGAUACCUACCCUCUGGAUUGGGAUAGCUGCGGGAAACUGCAGGUAAUACCGAAUAAAGUCUCCGGACCAAACGUGUGAAUCGGCCGGAGGAUGGGUCUGCGUCCUAUUAGCUUGUUGGUGGGGUAACGGCCUACCAAGGCAAUGAUGGGUAGCGGGUGUGAGAGCACGACCCGCGUCACUGGGACUGAGACACUGCCCAGACACCUACGGGUGGCUGCAGUCGAGGAUCUUCGGCAAUGGACGCAAGUCUGACCGAGCGACGCCGCGUGCGGGAUGAAGGCCUUCGGGUUGUAAACCGCUUUCGGAGGGGAUGAAAUGCGUGAGGGUACUCUCUCACGUUUGACAUAGCCUCAGAAGAAGUGUGGGCUAAGUUCGUGCCAGCCGCCGCCGUAAUAC
rnacentral:rRNA from 1 species